CGAAAACACACAGGUGGUCUAGAUCCAUAAUUUUCGCGAUUUUUGUGUUGUUGUUCAUUGUUUUGUUGUUUGAUAACUAAGCAAAUUUUCAAAAUAUUUAAAUAUUUUCAAAACCUAGUCACUGUUCAAUUACGAAAGGGGACACAUCGACAAAUUGAUAACGGCCGCAUUUAUCCUUGUAUAAUUUUCGCAAUAAGAUUGACCCAGUUUUCAAAACAAAUAAUAAGUUUCUUAUAACGUGCUGCCUCACGGUACAGAAAAAUUAUUUU